UUAAAGGAAGUUGACGGGGCCCGCACAAGCGGUGGAGUAUGUGGUUUAAUUCGAUGCAACGCGAAGAACCUUACCUGGUCUUGACAUCCCGGAGACCCUUAGGAAACUAGGGGGUGCUUCCAUCUGGAAGAAUCUGGAGACAGGUGCUGCAUGGCUGUCGUCAGCUCGUGUCGUGAGAUGUUGGGUUAAGUCCCGCAACGAGCGCAACCCUUGCCUUUAGUUGCCAGCAGUUCGGCUGGGCACUCUAAAGGGACUGCCGGUGUUAAACCGGAGGAAGGUGGGGAUGACGUCAAGUCCUCAUGGCCUUUAUGACCAGGGCUACACACGUACUACAAUGGCCGAUACAAAGGGCAGCGACACUGCGAGGUGAAGCCAAUCCCGUAAAAUCGGUCUCAGUCCGGAUUGGAGUCUGCAACUCGACUCCAUGAAGUUGGAAUCGCUAGUAAUCGUGGAUCAGCAUGCCACGGUGAAUACGUUCCCGGGCCUU
rnacentral:rRNA from 1 species